AUUUUAUUGAGGAUUUUUGCAUCGAUAUUCAUAAGAGAAAUUGGUCUGAAGUUCUCUAUCUUUGUUGGGUCUUUCUGUGGUUUAGGUAUCAGAGUA
rnacentral:miRNA from 1 species